UAUUGGUCAAUGGACGAGAGUCUGAACCAGCCAAGUAGCGUGAAGGAUGACUGCCCUAUGGGUUGUAAACUUCUUUUAUACGGGAAUAUAGUGAGGCACGCGUGCCUCUUUGUAUGUACCGUAUGAUGAAGGAUCGGCCAACUCCGUGCCAGCAGCCGCGGUAAUCCGGAGGAUACGAGCGUUAUCCGGAUUUAUUGGGUUUAAAGGGAGCGUAGGCGGACGCUUAAGGCAGUUGUGAAAGUUUGCGGCUCAACCGUAAAAUUGCAGUUGAUACUGGGUGUCUUGAGUACAGUAGAGGCAGGCGGAAUUCGUGGUGUAGCGGUGAAAUGCUUAGAUAUCACGAAGAACUCCGAUUGCGAAGGCAGCUUGCUGGACUGUAACUGACGCUGAUGCUCGAAAGUGUGGGUAUCAAACAGG
rnacentral:rRNA from 1 species